rnacentral:rRNA from 1 species
AACGGAGUGCCCAUGACAGAGGUUUCGGCCAAUAGAUUGGGUUACUGAGUGGCGGACGGGUGAGUAACGCGUGGAUAACCUGCCUCAUACAGGGGGAUAACAGCCGGAAACGGCUGCUAAUACCGCAUAAGCGCACGGUACCGCAUGGUACAGUGUGAAAAACUCCGGUGGUAUGGGAUGGAUCCGCGUCUGAUUAGCCAGUUGGCGGGGUAACGGCCCACCAAAGCGACGAUCAGUAGCCGACCUGAGAGGGUGACCGGCCACAUUGGGACUGAGACACGGCCCAGACUCCUACGGGAGGCAGCAGUGGGGAAUAUUGCACAAUGGGGGAAACCCUGAUGCAGCGACGCCGCGUGGAGGAAGAAGGUCUUCGGAUUGUAAACUCCUGUUGUUGAGGAAGAUAAUGACGGUACUCAACAGGGAAGUGACGGCUAACUACGUG